CGGUUGAUCCUGCCGGAGGCCACUGCUAUUGGGGUCCGACUAAGCCAUGCGAGUCAUGGGGCGCCUUGCGCGCACCGGCGGACGGCUCAGUAACACGUCGGUAACCUACCCUCGGGAGGGGGAUAACCCCGGGAAACUGGGGCUAAUCCCCCAUAGGUUUAGGGCACUGGAAGGUCCCUAAACCGAAAGGGGCUCUGCCCGCCCGAGGAUGGGCCGGCGGCCGAUUAGGUAGUUGGUGGGGUAACGGCCCACCAAGCCUAUAAUCGGUACGGGCAGUGAGAGCUGGAGCCCGGAGAUGGACACUGAGACACGGGUCCAGGCCCUACGGGGCGCAGCAGGCGCGAAACCUCCGCAAUGCUCGAAAGAGCGACGGGGGGACCCCAAGUGCCGUGGUACAACCACGGCUUUUCCGGAGUGUAAGAAGCUCCGGGAAUAAGGGCUGGGCAAGGCCGGUGGCAGCCGCCGCGGUAAUACCGGCGGCCCGAGUGGUGGCCACUAUUAUUGGGCCUAAAGCGUCCGUAGCCGGGCUUGUAAGUCCCUGGCGAAAUCCCACGGCUCAACCGUGGGGCUUGCUGGGGAUACUGCAAGCCUUGGGACCGGGAGAGGCCGGGGGUACUCCUGGGGUAGGGGUGAAAU
rnacentral:rRNA from 1 species